CUAUUAUAUUCACUUUAUUAAGAUUAAUUUAUUUUUAAUUAAUCAAUCUAAUUCAUAAAGUCAUAUCAUUUUUAAUAUUUUGAAGUUUACUUAUUAUAUUAAGCUACAUCGAUUUCAUGAUUGACCUAAUCAAGAUCAGAUAAUAUUCAUAUUAUAAGGAGACGACAUCUUUAAUCCUAUAUCAAUUAUGAGUUAAGAAAAAAUAUGGCUAAUAUGGAUUGAAACUUUCUUUCUCUCUGUAAAGAAUAAAAUUGUGGAGCUCCA
rnacentral:lncRNA from 1 species